AGAUUCAGUGUUAUUUUAUUCUGCUUUUAAUCAACACACAAUUGUGAGAGUACGAUUUAAAAUUCCAUGUGUAAAGUUGUGAAAUAAAAAACGCGCUCGACUCUUUACUGAUCCUACUCUUUACUAAGAUCCUAAAGACUAGAUAUUUUUCUUGUGCAAAUAGGCUUUACCUAUUUCAACGAUUUUUUUACUGCUUCUUGAGUUCAAUUAUUUUUUCAUUUUGUCAUUGAGUAAUGUUUUUGUCAGUUUUCACUGUAUUGUCCAGUUGUAGUUGACCAUCUAAUGGCCUUCAUUUCAUUGUACAUAACUCAUUUACCCUAAAUAAUGCCACAAUUAACCAUGAAAUUGAAUUUGUUUGAUUUCUUAAUCUUUUUCUCUUUUUUUCUCAAAGCUUCCACAAUUUAUCAUGUUAAUAUGAAAUACCAUAUCAAAUCAAACUGUCUAACCUCUAUUUUGGCUUGAUUUUUUCUUUAUCCUUCACUCAUUGUUAUUUGAUUUGGCGUGAUAUCAAUUUACAAUUUAAUUUUCUCAACCAGAGGACUUUGAAGCCCAUUGAGAGUUGUGGACAAGCACACUUACAAGCCCUAUUAAUAUUAUAUAAAUAUUAUAUCAUCGCCUUAAUUUUUCUGGGAAUAUCAUAAUUGAAUUACAUCAAUGGUAUCAUUUUUUGCUGGUGUCAAUAAAUGUUAAAUGGUUUAACAAACAAUUUGUUCAAGUGUCAACUUAAAGCUUUUAUGUUGGAAAUGAUUUCAAUGAAAAAUCAAGUUAUAGUCAACAAGCACUUGAUGGUUGAUUGUUGACAAAAGACGUACAAGACAAAUGAUGAUAACAGUGAAAAAAGUUGGAUUUAAUGGCGAGUCAAGUAAAUAAAGAGCAAUUGGAGGAAAGGAUCAAACUAUGAUUUCUGAAAGAUGCAGAGGAAAAGUUCAAGAUGAAAAAGCGGACAUAAUGAGGAUAGAGAUGAAUGAUUGAAAGGAUUUAUGUACACAAAGGGAAAAAUCCUAAUGGUCACUAAUGAAUUGCCAUUAACUUGCAAUUUUGAUUGAGAAUAAUUUCCUCUUUUGAGAAUUGAGAUUAUUUCUCUCUCGAUUUUACCCGCAAUGUAAUGGGUUUUAUUUGAAAAACCUCUUGUAAUAAUUGAUUCAAACCUUGCGGCAUCAACUAACCUAAGGUCAUGAAUUAUUAGGUAGUCACAAAGUUAUAAAUCACAAAAUAUUACAAGAGGUGAACUAUCAGAAAUGAGAUGAAUUAAUCUCAUUUGGAUUGUGUAAAGCAACUUUUUACCAUCAUUUAUUGGCCAUCAAAGGAAAAGCUGAUUAAAUGGAGAUGCAUAUGUUGAUCAUUAUUGCUGGUAUCAUUUGGGCAACAACGGCAUAAACAGAAAAAUUGCUCGCUGAUGGAAGGAUGAAUGAAAAGCAACUUAAAGGUGACAGACUGUGAAGAAAUGAACAAGAUUUGGAUAAUGAUAAAAGAAGAUUUUACCUGUUGUUGGAGGACAAGAAAAGAUGAUAAAGUUUUUUUAAUUGGUUCCACUAUUAAUAUGAAUGGCUAUCGUAGUGGACAGUAAGACUGGAAAACAGAAGGGAAAAGUUGAAAAAAGGCUAAAACCAUAAAGAAAGUUGUAACAAGAAAAGAUCAAUUCUUGUUCAUUUUUACCCAAAGUUAAAGGGCCAACAAAGACAAUAAUGAUAUAUUGAUAAAUUGAACUAAAGCCAAACUAAAGAGAAGAAAAGAAAGGAACAGCGUCCUAAAGGAGAGUAAAAAAUGGUCCUAAUCACGUCUACGACUUUCCGUUUCUUUUGGAUGGUUCCUCUUCAAACAAGACUAAUAACAGAAGAAACAACAUCUUAACAAAAUCCUUACGCUUAAUCCCAACUCACAGUGUGACGUUAAUCACCUACACACACACACACACACAAAGGCAACGCAAAGGGAAAAGUGAAAAGCCAAACACACCAUUUCAUCAUUAUCAAUGUAAACUAGUCCAAGUUUUAUACUUUUUUCAGUAUAAAUCUUUAGAUUUACAAAUGAACAAUUUUCUGUUAACCAUCAAAGUUCAUCAAUUUAUCUAAAAUCAACAGUUGAACUUUAUAAUUAUAAUAAUCAUUACGACCUAUUGUAUUUGAUUCUGAAAGUUUAAAUACAGAAACAUGCAAAUGUUACAGCUAGAAAAAGGUAAACAAUGAAAUUCAAAAACUAACAAGUUACUAAUCAAUUGAAUACUAUUAAAUGAUAAUGAUUAUGAUAAUAAUAACAGGGAAACAUAACACAAAAUUGAUAAUGGUGAAAGUGGGAGGUUAUUGGGAGGUUGUCUUAUCAACGCCUCAAUCCAAGCAAAACAAACACACACACAUAAACGCUACAAAAAAAGGUUUCUUUUUCAAAGGCAAACCAUUUGAACACAUUGCCGUAUAAAUGUAUACUUUUGUGUGUUUGUUUCUAGCUUUUGAUUAUGUUUCGUCAAAAGUAUUUACUGUUUAUAACUACUUUUGAGACAUUUUAUUCAAUCACUUGAUUCUAAUCGAUAGUUGAACUUUUUUUCCCAACUUUGCGCACAAAUCUCAUGUUAUCCCUGUAAACAUGGAGAAGACAGAAAAGUGUUAUUUUCAAUUUCAUCCUAUACAAGUUAUAUUAUACAUUGUUAUAGGACCAUUUUUCACCAUCAGAAUCAAGUGAUUGACUGAAGCUAGUGAUAAGCUUUUUCGCUUCUCUUUUUCCCUCAUUAAUUUGACUUUGUCAAAGUAUCACUUUCACUUUUAUUAAUUAACCUGAUAUUGAUGUAAAAAGUUGAAUGAAAAGCUUGGAUUCGUAAAGCUUUUUGCUUGAUACGUAACCUCGUCAUUUCAUUGCGCUUUUUGCUUGAUAAAUGAUUAAUAAUUAACGUUUAGAUUUUCGUCAAUCACUGAUUUUCCCCUUUGUCUUUAACUGUUCAAUAGUUGAUUUUCAAGUUGAAAGUGAAAGUUAUGGUGCUUAAAUGCUGGUUAAGAUGAGAAUGGCGUAUUGAUGUGUAAAGGCAACAAGAAGGAGUUUUAACGACAAGCUAAAGGUGGAGACAGAAUCAAAUUAACUGUGAACGAUUAGGCUUUUUUUAUCCUGGGAGGGAAAAAAUAGAUUAUCUUUUUAUUUUUGGCUGGUCAAAGGGUCAAAUGGAUGGUUAUUGUUAAUGAGUAUUGCUAACUCGUUGGUCCCUGGUCAGUCAAAGGAUACAAAAGAGCUUGAACAAAACACAGCAACAAAAACAUACACACCAAAGAGACUUUGAUUGAACUUUUCUUUGCCUCUCCUUUUGUUUCUUUUGAUGACAACAAUCAACGACUUUCAACUUUCUCCUUUUGUUUUGAUUCUUUCAACAUUGUCUAUCCUGAUGGAUUCCCGUUGAGUUUUGAUGAUCAUGAUGAUUAAGAAAAAAGGUUGACCUUUUUUGCCCUUCAUUUAUUUUUCUCUGUCCUUUGCGCGUCUUGUUAACAAUUAACAAGACAAGGUUGACAAAAGGUAAGAAAAGGUUUGUUCACAGUGUUGUUAAUCCUCUUGCGACAAAAGUUGUCAUAAGUCUUAUUCAGCUAAAUGUCUUCACAUUUUGAAAUGCAUUAAUCUUCGUUAUCUUUUAAUUGUUCAUUCAACUUAAAACCCAAAAUUGGAAUGAAAUGAUUCUAUAAACUAACCUUUUGAUUCAUACUUUUGUGUGGACAAGUUUUCAAGCAGAAAAUGAAUCAAGUAUUUUGUUUGAUUCAAGUUAACUAAAAGUAUUUUGUUUCGAUCUCAAGUGAUUUUAGGUUCUUAUCAACGUUUCCAAUUACAGGAACCAUUCAUUCGAUAUCAUCCAUUAUACGAAUCUUGAACAAAGUAGAUUCUCAUCUUCACAUGGUUAUAGAUUCAGUAUAGGAAAUGAUGAGGAUGGAGACUCAGAGAGAAGCCAAAGUUUAUGCUCAGAAUUAAGAUGAAGAGAGGAAAAUCUGUAGACAUUGAUACCAACUCAGAACUCACUUCAUCUUGGAUCCAUUUUUGCUCAUCAAAUGUUGGAAAAGUUGUUUUUACUUUACAUUUUUCACCAAAUUGAUCCAUUUGCUUCUUAACCAAUUUGACAAGCUAAUUGAAUAAUUGAUUUUGAUUGUAAUUUGGCUGUAAACAGGAAACUCAACAAUUAAUCAUUUAAAAUAGAUUUGUCUGAAUACUGUGAAACUAUGGAAAAGGUUGCAAUGUUUAAACAAAAUUUUGUAUCAAAAUUUAACGUAAAGGUGAUGGAAGAUUGAAAAAAGCGUUUUAUUUAUAUUACUUUAGUUUGCAAUGUAAUUUAUUUUGCUACUCACAAGUUGCUAAUAAUGAUAAAUUUGAAGAAACAAAAUGUACCAAAAAAAUGUCUAACAUCUCAAUAUUACCAAUGAAUUUGUUGGUUCAUUUCGUGAUCAAAUGUUAACUACAAAUGAUGUUUACUGAUGAAGAUAUUAUGGUGGCAAUAGUGAGAAAGAAACGCAAAGAUUGAGACAUUCUCAUCCAUCAUUAACUUGUAUUGAACUAUUUUUACUGUUGCAUGAGAAACAAGUGAAAGAUGAACAUCUUUUUUUUGUAUUGAAAAGUCUUGAAGCGUAUGAUUAGGAAGAUACCUUGUUUUGCUUUUCUUUCAUUUCUUUUUCUCUCAUCAUCAUUUCCAUCCUCAUCAACAUCAAUGAUCACAAUCAGUUUUUGCCCGAUUCCUUCCAAGUGAGUCUAAAUUAAUUUGCUCAACAACACAACCAUUAAAGAUGAAUGUAUCUUUGUCAAUGAACAUCACUUUGAGAUUUCAAAUGAUCAUGCCAAUGAUGAUGCUAAGGAUGAAGGUUGCCAUGUUGGUGACAGCAAGAUGAAAAUGGCAAGUGUCUUCUUCAUCCCUUUACUUUUACCAUCUUCAUCUUGUAAUUUUCAUCCUUUCAUUUUCCUUUACAUUUUUCCUCUUCUUUUUUCCCCAAAAAUAUAAUACUUCAUCUUUUUUAUUACUGGUGACAAUAAUUUACUUACAACAUCAACAAUCAACAAUUUGUGUGUGAAGUUUCAAAAUGUCAACUCAACCAGAAGACUAAGUUGGCAAAUAAUGAGGAGAAAAUUAAUUUUAUUAUUGAAUGUAUUUGGCAUUUUUAUCACCAUUACUAUUAAUAUCACUAUUAAUAUUAAUAUUAAUAUCAAUUUUUUUCUCUCUAUUCUCUAUCAUUAAUAUAUGAAUAUUUUUUCCCUUUUCUUUUGAUUCUUUCUCCUAAUCAUUUACUAUUGUUAUCCAAACAAAACAUUAGACACAUUUAUUUGAUCAUUGAUUGUCAUUUUAUUGGUGAAAAAACACCAAUAAAUACAUUUUCAACCGCAACUUUGAUCAAUCAAUACACUGUAUAAUCAUUUUUUAACAUUGAUAUGUAAAUAAAUUUCCCUCCUCAAUCAAUAUCUUAUUGAUCACUUUUAAUGCUGGUUAACGUUUCCCAACACUUUAUUUUGGAAACAUUUUAAUACUUAAUUGCUUCAAUUCAAAUUGAGCGCUCUUAUCUUCGUUUAAUUUUCAUUGGCUUUACGCUCUCUACAUUUCCCUCCAUUCAAUCACAUGUUUUGCUUUUUUAUUAAAAUCGUAAAAUUUGUUUUAAUUUAAUUUUCUCUUAAAUGUGAUCUAAUUAUUUGGUUAUUUAUUUCAUCUUUAUUCACCUAUUUCUUUGUCACUUGUGUAUUCCUUUAAUGUCCACUAUUCUUCGAUUGUUCAAGUUUAAAUCAACUUUACCAUUCUUGGUGGUGAGUGAGUGAAUUUUCUUGGAUUUAGGUGAAGCCUUUAUAAUUCAGCCUUGAUUAAUUUAUUGAAUCUGUUUCGAAAUGUUCUGUUUUCAUGAUUAUUGUUUGUCUAGUUGUAAUUAAUGAGAAGACACUUUUGCUAUUGAUUAUGUUUGAAUUGAAUUUUAAACUGUAUCAAUUUCUUUGUUGUGACUUUUGUUUCUUCGUUUACUCAACUGUUGUCAGCUUGUUAACCUCAAUUGUUAAUUAUGAUUUGUGCAUUGUUGUUUGAUAAGUAUAAUAUUCAAUUUAGAGCCAAAUUACUGUGUAAUUUGUUGUUGAUUUAGAGGGACAAUCAUUGUUAACUUUUUGCUUUUGUGCAAUUUCAACAAAAGUACCAUGUCGAAAGAAAGAAAAAGAUCCAAAUCAUUUAUGGUAAAUAUUAUUAUUUUGAAGGCCAAUAAAUUUUGAUGAUGAAUAUAAUAAUAAUAAUUUAACCUCAACUUUCCUUCACCAUCCACAUCCAGUCAAUAUUAUUUCAUAGGAAAAGACGAAGAGGCGGAUCGUACGAAGUAAGACAUCGACAUUAUCAAAAAAGCAAAGACAGGAAACUCGCAGAUGAAGAAAUGAAGAAAAGAAGGUUAACAGAAGAAGAAAUGUGAACAGGAAAUUUCCUUCAAAAAACCUUUACUGGAACAUCCCACUGAAGUCCUUCUUUUCUUAUGCUAUUAUCUUCAUUCAGAUCACAACAAAAAGGCAAACUGGGAAAAGGCUGAUAAAAAGUAAUAAUAAUACUGGCUGAUGUUAAUGCUCGAUAAUGUUGGAUUGCAAUAAGGAAAAGGUGGCCUGAUGGAACAAAGAGGGACAAAAGAUGAUGAUGAUGAUGAACAAGAUGAUGGUCGAAAAAGAGAAGAAGAAGAAGAAGAAAAAACUUCUUUUUAAUCGCACCAUUGAAAAGAAAAGAAAAACGUUUGCAUUAAAUAGCGUCCUCGUAUAUUGCUGUAUUUAACACUGCGGGAUGUGAUACAUUUGAAUAAGCGCCUUCAACUUUUUACAACUUGUAACAUAAAAUGUUGACUCGAUCGUUUCCCUUUACUUUAUCCUUCAUCAUGCUCAUCAUCAUUAUCAUCUUUUACUUUCUUCAAACGUUCUUCACCGUUUCCGACAGAGCCUUUACCUUUGUUGUUAAAGCAAAAUGUAAAGCUAAACAUUUCUCUUUCUUCUUUAUCAUAAUCAUCAUUAGAAAAAAAGAUGAUGAUCAAAGUGAUGAACAUUUUUUCUACUUUUCUUCGAACUUUCAACCAAAUUUAUGUCUACAGACUCAGUGGGAUAUAAAGAAACGCAAAAUGGCCUCACCUUUUUACAACUUUCGUGAACUCUAUUUGGAUUCAUCUUCUUCUUCCAAUCAUUCACCUUUACAUUCAAUCCUUUUCAUCAUCAUAUAUCUACCAACUUUCACCAUUAGGAAAAUUGUUGAACAUAAAAUGGACAGGAAAAAAAUUGUUGAAAGAAACGAAAGUUCACAUCUCUAGAAAAUGCUCUUUCCUUCAUUAACUUCAUCCUCAUCAUGAAAUGUUAAAUUGUCACUUUUAAGCUUGAAAGCAACAUAAAAAGAAAACAUCUUUUUGCUCGUCAAUUUUUAUUAACUUGAUUGAUGUUAACAAGCUUGUUAAAAAUGAAGACCAUAAUUAACAAUGUAGAUCUUGUUCAUCAAAAUAUUGAAUUUUACUAAUUAAACUUGACUGGUAACUAGAAA